rnacentral:rRNA from 1 species
UGCGUAGGCGGCCCGGGAAGUUGGGUGUGAAAUCCCUCAGCUUAACUGAGGAACUGCGCUCAAAACUGCCGGGCUUGAGGGAGACAGAGGUGAGCGGAACUUAGGGUGGAGCGGUGAAAUGCGUUGAUAUCCUAAGGAACACCGGGGGCGAAAGCGGCUCACUGGGUCUUUUCUGACGCUGAGGCACGAAAGCUAGGGGAGCGAACGGGAUUAGAUACCCCGGUAGUCCUAGCCCUAAACGAUGAGCACUGGAUCGGAGAACACCCCAUAGUUUUCUGGUCGUAGCAAAAGCGUUAAGUGCUCCGCCUGGGGAGUAUGGUCGCAAGGCUGAA